rnacentral:lncRNA from 7 species
UUCAAAAUUUCUAAAGGAUUGUCCAGGAAAAUAUUAAUAGUAAUGGUAAUAAUAUGCAUUUACCAGACAAGUGAUUUACAAUGCAAUUGCUCAUCACCCACCAGCUGGUGCCCAGUCAGUCUCCAAGCAGUGGUUACCCAUCCAGCCAACUUCCCUCAGUUUUACAGUAUUUUCACGUGAUGCUAUACUGCAUGAAGUAUCCCUUUGGCCAGUUCAGGUCAGCUGUCGUGGUCUGUCUGCUGUGCCCUGAAGCCCCCGUCACUGACAGCGCAGUACCAGAAGUUGAAACAUCAUUGGUUCUGUACAACACUGCUCAGCAAGAACAAAAACAUGUGGUAGUAACAUUGUUUUCUCCCAAAGCCAAAACAUAGCAUGGUAUUAGACACUAUGAAAAAAAAUAAAUAACUGUCCCAGCUGAAAGCAAACCUGCAGAGAGUUCCAGGUAGAGUGCUGUAGCACUCUGGUGUUUGCAUGCAGCCAGCAGCACCCGUUUUCCCUCUUUCCAUAUUCCCAGUCCUUUAAUCAGCAGGCUGAGCAGACUGAGGUGAUACUGCUGGUUUUCUUUGCUGUCUGCUUUAGGAAGGGGUCUUUCUGUGUUCACCACAAGAGAAUGUUGCCAGCAGUGUGCCAUCACCAGACCAUCAUCACCGUCCCAGGGGUUUCCGUGCAGGACCUGGAAACACAGUGAGGAACUGGCUGUCACCCACAGAAGGAAGUGCGUCAGAGGUGAUUUAAUCCCAGCCACCAUGCCCAAAACUGAGUCUUUAACUCCUUUCACUUGGAGCAAGAGGGCAGUUGCUGGCACCUCAAAGAGCAGUGCCAGUAAUUGCUGUGUGCUGUGAUAAAUGCAUAUGGCCAUGCACAAGUCUGAAUGUAUGAAGCAAAGUCCCUUGGAACUGCCUACAGCAAAGUGAAGACAGCUGAAGUCAUCUGGAAGUCACAAGAUGUCUUAUCUGUAGUAUGAAGUCAUGAGUCAUUUUAUGCCCAAGAAACCAACAUCAUCAAAUUCAGAGAAAUCACAGCGUGGGACAGACACAAUGAGACAAAGAAUACACGAUGCUCCAAGGUACGAAGGAAUAUUAAGAAGAGCCAGGGCUUGGAAUUCCUGUUGCAUGGAGGAAUGAGAGAUGAAUACCAUUUAUCUGUCUUGCAGAUAGGGAAUUGCAAGCCUAUAGAGCUGCUCAGGUCUCACUAUGUAUUGUGUGAUCCACAGGUAUCAAAGGGCAAAUGCUUUAAAACCUCACAACGCUCUUCCAAAUCACAGCUCUUGUCGGUAUUCUUUUGGCACCAAAAUGGUCACACGCUCUUCACAGGCAGUGUUUUCCUUGUUCUUCAGGUGGCUCUGCUAGUUAUUUGCCUCACUGAAUAGAGGAUAAAAUCAGCACAUUGCUCUGUGACUGUCAACUGCUCUCUCCUCUGACUUCAGCACCUAGCAGCAGUCCUCUUGGGUUUGUUUCCUCAUGGGAUACAAGGCUUAAAAGGCACAACCUGGGUUGGAGAAGUGCCCAGGCUUUCAGAAAGCCUGGGGUUCAGGUAGCAUCUGGCUUGAUGUUUGUCAGAAUAAAUGGCUGGCCCACUGAGACAGGCAUAUUACAGCCCAUUCCAAUAUCCGCGGCACCAAGCUACUGACUCACUUCAGCCCAUGGAGCUCGGAGACGAUCAAACAGACCUCUUUGUGAGCUGUUGGUACAUGCGAUGAAGGUGAAAGGACUGGUAAUUCAACCUAAUGUUUCUGGAGGACAGCCUGAGAGAUCCUGAAAAAGAAGGUCUAGGGAAGACCCAAACAGUUAAAAGGUAUUUUUAUUCUCUUCUUGGCUAAAGAAGUUGCACAUGGCCCUGAGGGCUAUCUGCCUCGGUGACUACACAAGCAUUGUGUUUUGAAAUAGGACUGUGCCAGCCCCUCCCUUCUCUAAUAAAUAGUUAAGCAAGACAGCGGGGCAUUACAAAACAAAUCAUUAAGUUGAGCAGCAAACUCUGUUUUCAGUAGGACUUGAAAUGUAGUAUAGUAUAAACUUAUUUUUGUUAUGUAUUUGUUGUUCCAGAACCCAAAAAUGAACUUUGUGUC